UGCAGCCAGUCAAAUUCAGUGCUUUCUGUUCUGUGGAUCGCACUGGCCCAAAUGGCUGCCACAUUAACAUCGUAGUAAAUGGGCCCCACGGCUGUGCUGUCGGCACUGGGGAUAAUUUUGUACUACGGAUAAAU